rnacentral:rRNA from 1 species
GAUGAACGCUGGCGGCGUGCCUAAUACAUGCAAGUCGAGCGAAGCGGGGACGGGUGAGUAACACGUGGAUAACCUCCUAUAAGACUGGGAUAACUUCGGGAAACCGGAGCUAAACCGGAUGCUUAUGGUUGGAUCCGCGCGGCAUUAGCUAGUUGGUAGGGUAACGGCUUACCAAGGCAACGAUGCAUGGCCGACCUGAGAGGGUGAUCGGCCACACUGGAACUGAGAAACGGUCCAUACCCCUACGGGAGGCAGCAGGAGGCAAUCGUCCGCAAUGGGCGAAAGCCGGACGGAGCAACGCCGCGUGAGUGAUGAAGGUCUUCGGAUCGUAAAACGCUGUUAUUAGGGAAGCGGUACCUAAUCAGAAAGCCACGGCUAACUACGUGCCAGCAGCCGCGGUAAUUC